AGAGUUUGAUCAUGGCUCAGAACGUCCGCUGGCGGCACGCCUAACCCAUGCAAGUCGAACGAAGUAGCAAUACUUAGUGGCAGACGGGUGAGUAACAUGUUGGUAUCUGCCCUUUGGCCUGGAAUAACACGAGGAAACUUGUGCUAAUACCGGAUAAGUCUUUACGGAGAAAGCUUUAUGCACCAUUGGAUGAGCCUGCACUUGAUUAGUUUGUUGGUAGGGUAAUGGCCUACCAAGACUGUGAUCAAUAGCUGAUUUUGAGAGGAUGAUCAGCCACAUUGGGACUGAGACACGGCCCAACCUCCUACGGGAAGGCGCGCUUGGGGA
rnacentral:rRNA from 1 species